CACACGACUCUCGGCAACGGAUAUCUCGGCUCUCGCAUCGAUGAAGAACGUAGCGAAAUGCGAUACCUGGUGCGAAUUGCAGAAUCCCGCGAACCAUCGAGUCUUUGAACGCAAGUUGCGCCCGAGGCCAUUCGGCCGAGGGCACGCCUGCCUGGGCGUCACGC
rnacentral:rRNA from 1 species